UACGUAGGGUGCGAGCGUUUAAUCGGAAUUACUGGGCGUAAAGCGUGCGCAGGCGGUGAUGUAAGACAGAUGUGAAAUCCCCGGGCUCAACCUGGGGAACUGCAUUUGUGACUGCAUCGCUGGAGUGCGGCAGAGGGGGAUGGAAUUCCGCGUGUAGCAGUGAAAUGCGUAGAUAUGCGGAGGAACACCGAUGGCGAAGGCAAUCCCCUGGGCCUGCACUGACGCUCAUGCACGAAAGCGUGGGGAGCAAACAGG
rnacentral:rRNA from 1 species